AAGUCGUAACAAGGUUUCCGUAGGUGAACCUGCGGAAGGAUCAUUAACGAAGAAUUUCGGCCGGGCCCCCGAGCGAUCGGGGGCGUCCGGUUCGAGCCCUUCUCUCUCUCACCCUGUGCACCGUGACUAUUUUUUUGCGCGAUCGUCGAAGUUGGGGAUGUCAAUGUAACGAAAGAAAAGGCAUAAAAUGAAGCAACGGAUCUCUUGGCUCUC
rnacentral:misc_RNA from 1 species